rnacentral:ncRNA from 1 species
GUUUGGUCCCAGCUUUAUCCCCAACUAUUACUUAACUUACACAUGCAAGCAUCCACACACCCGUGAAAACGCCCUCACCCCUCCAACAGGAAGAGGAGCCGGUAUCAGGCUCUAUUUUCGCCCACAACACCUAGCCAUGCCACAUCCCCAAGGAACCCAGCAGUGAUAAACAUUAUAUAUUAGCGCCAGCUUGACUUAGUUAUAGUAAACAGAGCCGGCCAAUUCGGUGCCAGCCGCCGCGGCUAUCCCGCUUGACUCAAGUUGACACUAACGGCGUUAAGCGUGAUUAAAGUAAUACUCACAGUAGAGUCAAACCCCCACCUAAGUUGUAAAAUACUUGGCCACAAGAAGCUCAUAAACGAAAGCUACUCUCCACCCUACUUGAACCCACGACAGCUGGAACACAAACUGGGAUCAGGUACCCCACUAUGCCCAGCCGUAAAAUAUCUACCCACAUCUUCAACCGCCAGGGAAUUACGAGCCCCCACUUAAAACCCAAGGGACUUGACGGUGUCCCACCCACCUAGAGGAGCCUGUUCUAUAAUCGACACCCCACGAUUCACCUCACCACCCCUAGCACAUCAGUCUGUAUACCUCCGUCGCAAGCUUACCAUGUGAACGUCACUAGUGAGCUAAAAGAUUUUUCCCACCAACACGUCAGGUCAAGGUGCAACUAACGGAACGGAAAGCAAUGGGCUACAAUUUCUACCUUAGAACACACAAAACCUGCAUGAAACACAGCCACCAAGGCGGAUUUAGAAGUAAAAAGAAAAUAGAGAGUUCUUUUUAACCUGGCCCUGGGACGCGUACACACCGCCCGUCACCCUCCUCACACAUCAAGAGGAGGCAAGUCGUAACACGGUAAGCGUACUGGAAAGUGCGCUUGGACAACAAAAUGUAGCUUACUAAAGCAUCUCGCUUACACUGAGAUAGACGCCAGAAAUUUUCUAGCCAUUUUGAGCCUAAAUCCUAGCCCCCCCCCCCCCCCAUCCACCUAACAACAAAUAAAUAAAACAUUCUUUUAUUUAGUAACGGCGAUUAAAAAAUAAAUAGGAGCUACAUAGACAGUACCGCAAGGGAAACAUGAAAUAAAAUGAAAACACAAAGCAAACUACAGCAAAGAUUAAUCCCUGUACCUUUUGCAUCAUGGUCUAGCCAGUCUAAUCAAGCAAAACGCACUUAAAGUUUGACCCCCCGAAACUAGGCGAGCUACUCUAAAACAGCCACAGAGCUAACCCAUCUCUGUUACAAAAGAGUGGGACGAUUUUAAAGUAGAGGUGAUACACCUAUCGAGCUCAGAAAUAGCUGGUUAUUCAAAAGACGGAUCUAAGUCCUACUUUAAGCCACCCCCAGUAACACCAAACACCCAUAAACUUAAAAGUCACUCAAAUAAGGUACAGCCUAUUUGAACAAGGAAACAACCUACAACACAGGGUAAUGAUAACACGUAUGAUCAAGUAGGCCUUAAAGCAGCCAACUUUCAAAAAGCGUCUAAGCAUCAUCACAACACAUUCCACAAUUUCUUAAUUUACCCAAAACCCACAAUCACCACUGAAUGAUCCCAUACUUGUAUGGUAAACAUUAUGCUAGAACUAGUAACAAGAAGAUGAACUUCUCCAAAAUGCAAGCGUAAGCCAAAAUGAACCCAUCACCGGCAAUUACCGCCACCCCCAGUACCAACCCUACAAGAAAACUCUACUAUACCAAGCGCCAACCUUACACUAGAACAUUACCGGAAAGAUUAAAAGACAGGGAAGGAACUCGGCAAACACCAGCCCCGCCUGUUUACCAAAAACAUCGCCUCUUGACAACCAUAAGAGGUCGAGCCUGCCCGGUGACAAUAGUUAAACGGCCGCGGUAUCCUAACCGUGCAAAGGUAGCACAAUCACUUGUUCUUUAAAUCAGGACUAGUAUGAACGGCCUCACGAGGGCUAUGCUGUCUCCCCCAUCCAAUCAGUGAAACUGAUCCCCUCGUGAAGAAGCGAGGAUGACAUUAUAAGACGAGAAGACCCCAUGGAACUUUAAACUAGCACCACCCCCCCCCCCCCCCCACCGCCACAUCAAUAGGACAACAUGGCUGCUAGUCUUUCGGCUGGGGCAGCCACGAGGAAAAAUAAAACCCCCGAGAUGAAAGAAAACCCUCUUAUCCAAGAACUACUAUUCAAAGAAUCAACAAAUGACACCAUUGACCCAACAAUUGAUCAACGAACCAAGCUACCCUGGGGAUAACAGCGCAAUCCAUUUCAAGAGACCUCAUCAACAAAUGGGCUUACGACCUCGAUGUUGGAUCAGGGCAUCCUGGUGGUGCAGCCGCUACCAAAGGUUCG